rnacentral:rRNA from 1 species
UACGUAGGGGGCGAGCGUUGUCCGGAAUUACUGGGCGUAAAGGGCGUGUAGGCGGCCUGUUAAGUCAGGCGUGAAAACCCCGGGCUUAACCUGGGGACUGCGUUUGAAACUGGCGGGCUUGAGGGCAGGAGAGGAAAGUGGAAUUCCCGGUGUAGCGGUGAUAUGCGUAGAUACCGGGAGGAACACCAGUGGCGAAGGCGGCUUUCUGGACUGCACCUGACGCUGAGGCGCGAAAGCCAGGGGAGCGAACGGG